GGCUAGAAAUACUGCAAACAUAACAUACCUCCCUUCCUCCCUUAAAACAGGAUGUCUUCCCUAACUAGUUCCAGGUGUAGGUUGUAAAACCCCCUCUCCCUGACACCAAAUGUACUUACAUUCCUCCUAGGUUGUAAAUCCCCCUCUGACACCAAAUGUGCCUGCAUUCCUCCUACCCUUUUGUCCUCCUAGCCACAGUAUAUAUAUAUACCAUGCUUUUGCUUCAAUAAACGACUUCUCUUUGCAUACUAUGUGAGAGCUGUCCGUACCUUUCUCUCUCUUCCCCGUUCCUUCUCUCUCCCCACCUUCCCCUCUCAGGGGUCGUAAGGGGCUGGUCCCCAGCAUCUGGCGCCCAACGCGGGGCCUGAGCGACCACCGGACAACUGAGGAAAAGUUCGGCGCCAAAACCAAGGCUAUAGUAACGGGUAGGGAUCGGACGAUCCUGAGGAAAAGGGUAAUGCGUGAAACCCAUGAUCCAUCCUGCCUUGUACUGAGAACACUGUUGGCUGCCUCCUUGUUCUUCGCGAUCCUCGGCCUUCUUGCUGCCCUGAUAGAAUCCAUCCACAUCACCCUCUACAUUCGCAGUCUGAACGACCCUUGAACAUUCGCGACCAUUAUGGGCCUUCAAAUUUUAUUGUUUCUUUCCCUACUCACCCCCCCUAUGAGUACCGCACAACGCCAAUCCCACCGUCCAUGGAAAUGGACCCUUAGCAGCUGGGACAGUAGCUCUAUUAUCCAGACUACAACCACCUCUGGGGCACCCAGCUUCACCUUUCUCCCCUGCACAAUUAUUCAACAGGACGGACCAUGCCUACCGGAAAAACGCGGAGCCCCUACAUCACACUUCACUACUACAACCCACCGAUGACAGCUGGCUCCUAGGAAGAACUUGGGGACUCCGCUCCUACCAACCAGGAGAUGACCCCGGAGGACUGUUUUUCAUCAAGAAAGAACUCCCUCAGGAAACCCCCCCCUCCAUUCAGGGCCCAAACAAGGCCCUCCGACCCGCUAAACCCCGACACCCACCUCACCCCCCCAAAAAACACCG
rnacentral:lncRNA from 1 species